UCAGUCGACUCCUACGGGGAGGCAGCAGUGAGGAAUAUUGGGUCAAUGGGCGCAAGCCUGAACCAGCCAUGCCGCGUGCAGGAAGACUGCCCUAUGGGUUGUAAACUGCUUUAUACAGGAAGAACACUCCCUCGUGAGGGAGCUUGACGGUACUGUAAGAAUAAGGAUCGGCUAACUCCGUGCCAGCAGCCGCGGUAAUACGGAGGAUCCAAGCGUUAUCCGGAAUCAUUGGGUUUAAAGGGUCCGUAGGUGGAUUAGUAAGUCAGAGGUGAAAUCCUGCAGCUCAACUGUAGAACUGCCUUUGAUACUGCUAGUCUUGAGUCAUUAUGAAGUGGUUAGAAUGUGUAGUGUAGCGGUGAAAUGCAUAGAUAUUACACAGAAUACCGAUUGCGAAGGCAGAUCACUAAUAAUGUACUGACACUGAUGGACGAAGGCGUGGGGAGCGAACAGGAUUAGAUACCCUGGUAG
rnacentral:rRNA from 1 species